rnacentral:rRNA from 1 species
UACGUAGGGUGCGAGCGUUAAUCGGAAUUACUGGGCGUAAAGCGUGCGCAGGCGGUUCGUGAUGUCUGGUGUGAAAGCCCCGGGCUAACCUGGGAAUUGCAUUGGAAACUAGCGGGCUGGAGUGUGGCAGAGGGGGGUGGAAUUCCACGUGUAGCAGUGAAAUGCGUAGAGAUGUGGAGGAACACCGAUGGCGAAGGCAGCCCCCUGGGCUAACACUGACGCUCAUGCACGAAAGCGUGGGGAGCAAACAGG